rnacentral:rRNA from 1 species
UACAGAGGUGGCAAGCGUUGUUCGGAAUUACUGGGCGUAAAGGGCGCGUAGGCGGUCCGAUAAGUCCUGUGUGAAAUCCCUCGGCUCAACUGAGGAACUGCACGGGAGACUGUCGGGCUUGAGUUCGGGAGAGGGAAGCGGGAAUUCCGGGUGUAGCGGUGAAAUGCGUAGAUAUCCGGAGGAACACCGGUGGCGAAGGCGGCUUCCUGGACCGACACUGACGCUGAGGCGCGAAAGCUAGGGGAGCAAACGGG